GGUGCUUUCUCUGAAUGUGUGCUGAAAACAGGGAUGCAAAGCAGAGCAUUACAACAAGACGGCAGUACAAUUACAGCCUCUGUGUUACAGCAGGGUGUUUAAGAAAAACAAGAAAAAUUAAUUGCAUGGCGUGUGGCCUUAAUGUGCAGGACUGGAAUUUGACUGCAGUUCGAGGUCCACAGGAUGAAUAGCCAAGCAGGCAGUGAAGUGGAACUGGAGGACAGGCCUUGCGGGGCCUUGCUACACCGCAGCCUUCAGGUUAUGUUACCUUGAUAAUGUCACAGCUGCAGGAACCGCACCGCCCACCGUACAGGACACAGGAAAUCCAAUUAUCUGUCUCCUAAUGUGUGGGAAUUUUACGCUCUCAUUUCUUAGAAUCUGUCUCCAGCUUAGCUCGAGGGCAAACCUACCUGAGAACGAUUCCUGGGAUUGUUAUUCAUGUAUUUAUUUACCAGGAAGAACUAACCUUUCUGCUUAAAAGUUAGAGCGUAGUAGAACCCAAAUUUAAAAAAUAGUUUCAACUUCACAAAACCAUUUGACAAAGAUUUAGAAGUGAGAAGUCAUGGAAUUGAUUAAACGUAAUUGACCUCC